rfam:Otolemur garnettii contig001926, whole genome shotgun sequence.
AAAUUGGCUUUAUUUAAAGCCAACAAAAUUCAGAAAAUUAAUGAA